rnacentral:misc_RNA from 1 species
GUAAAUCAAUAUAAAAAUUUCGAACUCCGCGGAUUGUCCGAAAGGACGACGUCUGUCUGUCUGUCUGUCUGUCUGCAUGGCGUGGUCAGCAGUUAUGCUUCGACGAGGUCGGCCGGAUCGACGCUGGCGAGCUCGCUAUUAAAAUAAAGCGAAUUCGCCGGCUGUCCGGUAAACGACGACGUUGUUACUUCGGGUACCUGGGAGAAGAGGUAAUAACUAACUAACUACCUCUCUCCGCGGAAGGACGCGGCGGCUAUUCGUUAGCCUCCUCGUCCUCCGAGGUAUUGAAAGAUUUUCGCCCGACCGUCGAGGAAGCAGACGACGUGCCUCUCGCUCGACAUCCCAUAACGAGGGGCGAAAGGAGACUCGCGUCUUCGCCGCUAGCACACCGCGUCUGUACGUGAACACGUGUAGUGCGUUAUAAAGCGGCGAAACUCGAACGUCUCACUCUCCCCUUUUUUCAAUUUCAAACACUUGCCACCUUUCGAUAUGUGAACGUCGCACGAGAGAGACGCUUACGCGCCUCCUCGUGCCACGUCAAAAUCUUUAACGAUUACCCUGAACGGUGAAUCAC